rnacentral:lncRNA from 1 species
CGUUUACGCCCUGAUUUCAGUUUCGUAAUAGGUGUGGACGAAGAUACUUAAUAUAUUUUUAUAACAUAAACGUAUUAUUUAACUCUGAGUUUUUAAAGUGAAGGUUUCUUGUGAAUUGUGAAACAGUGAAUGUGGUUGUAAGAAAAAAAGAGUGUGUCAGAGGUCAUAGGGAGUGUUAGUGAAAUGCAGCAAGUGUAUUGUGUAAAUGAAACCCUCAUAUAAUCGGCAAGAAGAGUUACAUCCCACGAGUACAACCUUUUAUAUGAAACAAAUUAAAAAUUAAUUCAUAUGAGCCACUCUCUGGAAAGUGGAAUAUAUAUAUAUAUAUAACUGCGUAGAUUCUAUGGUAGUUACAGUCAA